UUUUUUUACGAUGGCACAAGCUGCUUCAGUUAAUGGUGCAGCAACGGCAGUAGUGAGUAAACCUCAGUCAGCAACUCCAGUAUCAUCAAACACUACACAGACGACAAAUGAUUAUGAUUUUUCCUCAUUAACACAAGGAAUGUUUGCAAAACCCUGA